UCUGAUUAUAUAUAUGGUAUGUUGACACCAAAUUCACAUCUUCAUACAUGUAUUUUGUAUAAUGAUGAGGGUCUUCUUUCACCAUCCAUGCUAUUCCCCUUCUCCCUCCCAUUCCCUCCCACCCCAAUUCCCUAUCUAGAGGUAAUCUUCCUCCCUUGCUCUCCCUCCCAACCCCAUUUUGAGUCACCCUCCCCCCUUAUAUCAGAGAAGACAUUCGGCAUUUGUUUUUUGGGGAUUGGCUAGCUUCACAUAGCAUAAUCUUCUCUAAUGCCAUCCAUUUUCUUCCCUUUUCAUGUUGCUCAUGUGUCUUCCUUUCUAACUCUGUGAGUCUUGGAGUUAUUGUUUUUACCCUAUAGGUUUGUAAUGCUCUUGUAGGAUUCCAGGAUCCCUCCUUUGUGGGGAAGGACUAUGUUAACAGAUCCCAAUAUCAACAAUAUAUCACCUAUGAACAAUUUAUUGUAAUUAAGACAUUAACAGUUUAAUCUCAAUGUACAGAAAUGUUGGGUUCAAUUAUGUUUUAAAAUAUAAUCAGUAGUUUUGUAAAAAGAUAUACAGUUUCUGACAGUGGUCAAUAUACUAGGGGUGGGGCAUAGUACAAUAUGCUGAGGGGAAAUAUUGUGAAGGUAUAGAGUUAAUAUAUCUUAGGAAAUGUGAAAGGGAAAUCUAAUGAAGAGGGUUAGUAGCAGGAGAAUAGAC
rnacentral:lncRNA from 1 species